CCCGUCCAUCUCACGAUCCAUGGAACUCCAACGUCCUCCUCAAUCCUGAUCUUAUUACCCUCCCGUUCCCCAUUUCUUUCGUCCUUUUGCCCUCCUCGGGGAAUGGAAAUGCCCGGGAGGCGAUCGAGCUACUCCCUCCUCGGCCAGUCCCCCGACGACGCUCCGCUCCCCAAGUUCGAAUCGCCACCGUCCGACAAAGCCCGCCCCCGCCCCUCCCCCUCCCCCUUCGACUGGCCGAUGGCCCCCGCCGUGCCCUCUGCCAUGACGCACUUGCAGCGGCAGUCCAGCGGGAGCAGCUACGGGGGCAGCUCCCUCUCCGGGGACUACUACAUGCCCACCACCCUCGCUUCCGCGACCGUCGACUCGGACGCCUUCAACCCCAUGGCGGCCGCGGGCGGAGAGGGGCGGUCUAAGGACGGCGCCGCCGCGGCGGAAGCGGCCGCCGUCGGGCCGUCCUCCUCGUCGGCCAAGAGCUGGGCGCAGCAGGCCGAGGAGACGUACCAGCUCCAGCUCGCCCUGGCGCUCCGGCUCUGUUCCGAGGCUGCGUGCGCAGACGACCCCAAUUUCUUGGACGCCGUGGACCAGAUGGUGCUGCCGGAGCGCGCCGCGCCAGCAUCCAUGUCCCAUCGGUUCUGGGUAAAUGGAUGUCUGUCAUAUCAUGACAAGAUUCCAGAUGGCUUUUACCUGAUUCAGGGAAUGGAUCCAUUUGUAUGGACUCUAUGUGCUGAUGUGGGUGAAGAGAAUCGGAUUCCGUCAAUUGAGUCUUUGAAGACUGUUCACCCCAGUGAUUCAUCAAUCGAAGUGGCUCUUAUAGAUAGACAGUAUGACCCUGAUCUAAGGCAGUUGCAAAGCCUGGUAGCUGGAAUUUCAUGUACCUGUAAUACGCCAAAAGAUAUGGUGGAACAGUUAGCAAAGCUUGUCUGCACCUGUAUGGGGGGUACAGCUUUUAAUGAAGAAGAUGGUCUUCUUCAUCGCUGGAAAGAAUGCAGCGAGGCUCUCAAGGCUAGUUCAGGCUCUGUUGUGCUUCCAAUUGGAAAGCUAUCUGCUGGUCUCUGUAGGCACCGUGCAUUGCUUUUUAAGAUGUUGGCUGACACAAUUAAAUUGCCAUGUCGAGUUGCUAAAGGCUGCAAAUAUUGCAAAAGUGACAGUGGUUCAUCUUGUUUGGUGGAUUUGGGUCAGGAAAGGGAAUAUUUAGUUGAUUUGAUUAGGAGCCCAGGAAAUCUGUUUGAACCAAAUUCCUUACUGAAUGGACCGUAUUCCAUUUCAAUAUCUUCACCUUUGCGUCCUCCAAAAAUCAGAUCAACUACAGUAACUGUGGAUUUCAGAACCUUGGCCAAGCAAUAUUUUCUGGACUGUCAAUCACUUAAUCUCUUCUUCAAUGAUCCUUCAGCAGAGUUUAACCAAAACUGCAUGUGUACUAUCAAAGGUGCUGCUGUUGCUCAAGGAGAUGCGACAGACCCACCAUCCCCUAGGCCUUUUGAUGAGAAGUCUAUGGAGAUGAGCUCUUCACCACUAAGAGGUAUUGGAACUGAAUUUUCUGAUCUAUCUCAACCUCUCGGACAGGAAGUUGCACUGCCAGAUGGUGACACAAAUGUUGCCAAGUUAAAGAAAAUGCUCAAUCCUUCACAAAAUGUAAUAAGCCCAGCACUUCUAGAACAAGAUGUGGCACAGCUGAAGCUUACAUCACAAGCAGGAUGCAGGGAAGUUCCCCAAAUUAUCCCUCCUUCUGAUCUAAAGGCUGAAAAGAAGAAGGAUUUCAGGUUUAUAGAGGAUUCUAGGAAAGGUGGAAAUAGAUCUAACAAUGAUAUAAGUCUUGCUGUAGAUGAUCUGAGCAUUCCAUGGAGUGAAUUGAUUCUGAAGGAGAGGAUUGGAGCAGGUUCCUUUGGAACUGUCCAUCGUGCUGAAUGGCAUGGUUCAGAUGUUGCUGUGAAAAUACUUAUGGAACAAGAUUUCCAUCCUGAACGCAUAAAAGAGUUUCGAAGAGAGGUUGCUAUAAUGAAAAGUCUACGCCAUCCUAAUAUUGUUUUGUUCAUGGGUGCUGUUACUGAGCCACCAAAGCUAUCUAUUGUCACUGAAUAUUUGUCAAGAGGCAGUUUAUACCGGAUUUUACAUAGAAAUGGUGCAAGGGAAAUUUUAGAUGAAAGGCGUAGAUUAAGUAUGGCAUCUGAUGUGGCAAAGGGAAUGAAUUAUCUUCACAAUCGCAGUACACCUAUUGUUCACCGAGAUUUGAAGUCUCCAAAUCUUCUUGUUGACAAGAAGUAUACAGUGAAAGUCUGUGAUUUUGGUCUUUCGAGAUUAAAGGCAAACACAUUUCUCUCAUCUAAAUCACUUGCAGGAACUCCUGAGUGGAUGGCACCAGAAGUACUUAGAGAUGAACCAUCAAAUGAGAAGUCUGAUGUUUACAGCUUUGGCGUGAUUUUGUGGGAGCUUAUGACAUUGCAACAACCAUGGAGUAAUUUAAAUCCUGCUCAGGUGGUCGCUGCAGUUGGUUUUAAGGGAAGAAGGCUUGAGAUCCCAAGUGAUGUAAACCCACAUGUGGCUGCUAUAAUUGAGUCCUGUUGGGCCAAUGAACCAUGGAAAAGACCUUCAUUUUCUAGCAUCACGGAGUCCUUGAAGCCUUUGAUCAAGCCUUUGUCACCUCAACCAUAACAUGCUGAUAUGUCAAGUAUCCAGUAGUAGGAUGGUUGCAUAUGUAGAGCUGCUGUACUUUUAGUUAUGGUGGUGGUAGACAGGAGUCUGCUAUAAUUGUAUAAACCACAGUCAGUGUCUAUGAAGAUCUGGCAAGGUACAGAAGCUGUUAAUGAAUCCUGUUCAGCGAGGCAAUCUUCCAGUCUGGAGUACAAAUUCAGAUUUCUCAUUAACUAGGCCAUAUAAGUAAAUGCUAGAGUGAUGUGAACAUGUUCCUAUAUUGCCUGCCGCUUCCAUCUGUUGUCUAAUCUUAUAUGCAUUGCAUGUCCCUCAGUGCACAUCUACACUCCUGUACAGGGUGCUUAUUUUGAUAGGCUUCUCCCUGACUGUGUUGGUUUAGAUGGCGUUGAUCAUGCAGGCACUUGUGAUGCAAGAAGAGAAUCCAACAGGAGAUAGCUCAGAUUGCUGGAAUUUA